rnacentral:rRNA from 1 species
UACGGAGGAUGCGAGCGUUAUCCGGAUUUAUUGGGUUUAAAGGGUGCGUAGGCGGGACCUUAAGUCAGCGGUAAAAUUGCGGUGCUCAACGCCGUAGAGCCGUUGAAACUGGGGGCCUUGAGUGGGCGAGAAGAAGGCGGAAUGCGUGGUGUAGCGGUGAAAUGCAUAGAUAUCACGCAGAACCCCGAUUGCGAAGGCAGCCUUCCGGCGCCCUACUGACGCUGAAGCACGAAAGCGUGGGUAUCGAACAGG